rnacentral:rRNA from 1 species
UAACACAUGCAAGUCGAACGAAGUCUUCGGACUUAGUGGCGCACGGGUGCGUAACGCGUGGGAAUCUGCCCUUAGGUACGGAAUAACUCAGAGAAAUUUGAGCUAAUACCGUAUGAUGUCUUCGGACCAAAGAUUUAUCGCCUAAGGAUGAGCCCGCGUUGGAUUAGCUAGUUGGUGGGGUAAAGGCCUACCAAGGCGACGAUCCAUAGCUGGUCUGAGAGGAUGAUCAGCCACACUGGGACUGAGACACGGCCCAGACUCCUACGGGAGGCAGCAGUGGGGAAUAUUGGACAAUGGGGGAAACCCUGAUCCAGCAAUGCCGCGUGAGUG